GUGCCAGCCGCCGCGGUAAUACGGAGGGAGCUAGCGUUGUUCGGAAUUACUGGGCGUAAAGCGCACGUAGGCGGCUUUGUAAGUUAGAGGUGAUAGCCUGGAGCUCAACUCCAGAAUUGCCUUUAAGACUGCAUCGCUUGAAUCCAGGAGAGGUGAGUGGAAUUCCGAGUGUAGAGGUGAAAUUCGUAGAUAUUCGGAAGAACACCAGUGGCGAAGGCGUCUCACUGGACUGGUAUUGACGCUGAGGUGCGAAAGCGUGGGGAGCAAACAGGAUUAGAUA
rnacentral:rRNA from 1 species